UAGGAGUGGACUGCAACAUUUUGGCUCUGGGCCAGAGAUUCUGGCACGGCCAUGUUCUCUCUGACCCUCUAAAGAGAAGCGGAAAGACACCAGGAAAGAAAAGCCCCGAGGCCAAGCAGCUCACGUUAAGCCCAUCCCCCUGACAAGAGGGGGACAACUCCACCCAGGCAAGGAAGCCUGAGAAGCCAAGAGCAGGCGCCUCUCCCAGAAGAUAGACUGGAAGAACAGGUGAAUGAUAAGCUUGUUUCCACUGGAUAAUCUUUCCUGCUUUGACAAAGAGUGGAGUGGUUACCGAAGUCUUAAUCAACAUUUAAGCCAACAGAAAACACUUGCACCUGCUAUUAUCUUUUCUGCUGAGAGAAGUGUUUUAUUGUAAUGCCCUGUGAUCUCUGAAGGCUUGGGAAAAGAGGUCUUUGAAACUGAGGUGAAUGAUGGAGCAUUGCAUAGAUCCCUAAGGCUCAGAGAACUGCAAAGGAAAAGAAAAGUGAUAUUUCUUCAAGUGACAAUGCACGAAGCAAGAUACAUGAAAAAAAUUGAAAAACAUCCAAGCUAAAAGAAUGGUGAAGAUGCACCAGUGGUUGAUUAAAAUGAAAAAUACCUGUAAACUCAAUGAAAAUUAGUGACUUGCAUCCAUCAACAAGUUACCAAUACAGGACAGUGAGAAUAAGAAUAUAGCCUUUUGGAAUAAUUGACAUUUUGGCAGUUGACAAUAUUAAGCAGUGAACCAUUAUUGGAAGCACUUUCCAGGAAAAGUUUGACAUUUAAA